UCGAAGCGCACGAAUUCCGUAUCGUCCACGUAGCCGACUUCCAAGUACCUUGGCACUCCGAGUCCGGGACUAGACGUGGCGGUGUAGAAAUACCGCAGCGAGUGUGAGCCUGGGGGCGGCGCGCGGUGAGACCCCGAUCUUCUCCCGGGACCCCAGGCGGGUGCGCGGGCCGGGAGGGGAGCAGGGCGCGGGGCUCGGGACGCAGGGUCGGUGGGCGACGCGGGACGCGGCUUCCCCCGCCCCUCCCUGCAGAGGCUGUUUUCUUCCUGACCCCGCACUCACCAGCGCGGGUCUGAGUCGGGGUCAGGGCGGCCCCCAGCAGCAGGAGCAGCAGGAUCGCCCCCAUCUGGGAUCCCGGGCAUCUGAGUCCCGCGGCUGCGUGGACUUUAUAACCAGCGCCCGCAGAGUAGCUGGUUGGUUUCCCAGGGUCGUGCCACCCAAUGGAGAUUACACGUCCACAUCACGGUCUAUCAUUGAAGAGAUUCAGGGCAGGACAUUGAGCGAGGAUUCUAAAGUAGGAACUGAAGCAGAGACUGCGAGGACCAGUGCGAACUGCAUUGUAGCUCAUGGCUUGCUCAGACGGCUUUCUUAUACAAUCCACGAACACCAGAAUCUGGUAACAAUGUGUCAGUGUCUAGACCUAGUAGCAACUCUAGGAAAGUGUCUGGUGAUUGUCACACAUGAAGAGAACUGAGAAGCACCUGAAGCCUGUGUUGUUGCUGCUGUUAAACUGACAAAGUUCUCCCUGGUCAACACCACCGAGAUCUGUGAAGGGGGAAUUUCACCUGAGUAAGCAGGAAGUACAGACUAAGAAGCUUCCAGAUCUAUUAAUAAUGACAGACUUAUCCGUUACCUGGACAAUCACUGAAGGUUCUGCUGUAGUAGUCUUGAUUUCACUGGGGACAGAGGACCCAGGGCCGCAUCAGUCUUCCCAGCCUGGUCCAGAAGGUCCAAAGACUGUGCAGUGGAUGAGGACUCUGGGGGAUCAGCCUACCUUGUCUAAGCAAAUUGGGGCAAUCAACUCCCCAGUGUCCUGCUUGUUCACAGUUUGGACAGGUUCCUGGUGACAGACAAGAUGAAGGGCAGAUUGUCACCCAGUGGAUGGCUCCAACCCCAUCAAAGACCUGAAGAGAAUGAAUGUUCUCAACCUAGACAGGGAGUGCAGAACAUGCAGCUUUUACAGCUAUAGA